GACGAACGCUGGCGGCGUGCUUAACACAUGCAAGUCGAACGGAAAGGCCCUGCUUGCAGGGUACUCGAGUGGCGAACGGGUGAGUAACACGUGGGUGAUCUGCCCUGCACUUCGGGAUAAGCCUGGGAAACUGGGUCUAAUACCGGAUAGGAGCCAUUUUUAGUGUGAUGGUUGGAAAGUUUUUUCGGUGUAGGAUGAGCUCGCGGCCUAUCAGCUUGUUGGUGGGGUAAUGGCCUACCAAGGCGGCGACGGGUAGCCGGCCUGAGAGGGUGGACGGCCACAUUGGGACUGAGAUACGGCCCAGACUCCUACGGGAGGCAGCAGUGGGGAAUAUUGCACAAUGGGCGCAAGCCUGAUGCAGCGACGCCGCGUGGGGGAUGACGGGCUUCGGGUUGUAAACUCCUUUCGCUAGGGACGAAGCUUUUUGUGACGGUACCUAGAGAAGAAGCACCGGCUAACUACGUG
rnacentral:rRNA from 1 species